AACGGGAGGGGCGAGUGUUAUUCAUCUUUAUUGGGCGUAAAGCGUAACUAGACGGCUUUUGAAACUAAAGGCUAAAGACCAGAGCAUAACUUUGGGGUGCAUUUACAGAUCAUUAAGCUAAGGGUUUACGGGAAGUUGGCGGAUUUUUUAAGGUAGAGGUAAAAUCCUUAGAUAUUAAAAUGUCCAUCAAACUGCGGAGGCAGCCAACUAUCGUAAGGACUGACGUUCAAUUACGAAAGCGUGGGGAUCAAACAGG
rnacentral:rRNA from 1 species